UACGUAGGGGGCAAGCGUUGUCCGGAUUUAUUGGGCGUAAAGAGCGCGUAGGCGGCUUGGUAGGUCCGCUGUGAAAACUCGAGGCUCAACCUCGAGAUGUCGGCGGAAACCACUUGGCUAGAGUCCGGAAGAGGAGAGUGGAAUUCCUGGUGUAGCGGUGAAAUGCGCAGAUAUCAGGAAGAACACCUAUGGCGAAGGCAGCUCUCUGGGACGGUACUGACGCUGAGACGCGAAAGCGUGGGGAGCGAACAGG
rnacentral:rRNA from 1 species